rnacentral:rRNA from 1 species
AAUCAACGCUGGCGGCGUGCCUCAGACAUGCAAGUCGAACGAGAAGUCCCCUUCGGGGGAUGGAUAGUGGCGCACGGGUGAGUAACACGUGGGUAAUUUACCUUUGGGUGGGGAACAACAGCCGGAAACGGCUGCUAAUACCGCAUAAUGCAGCGGCUCCUCAUGGAGACAGUUGUUAAAGCGGGGGAUCGCAAGACCUCGCGCCUGAAGAGAAGCCCGCGGCAGAUUAGCUAGUUGGUAAGGUAAUGGCUUACCAAGGCGACGAUCUGUAACCGGCCUGAGAGGGCGGUCGGUCACACUGACACUGACAUACGGGUCAGACUCCUACGGGAGGCAGCAGUCGGGAAUUUUGGGCAAUGGGCGAAAGCCUGACCCAGCAACGCCGCGUGAAGGAUGAAGUUUUCGGAAUGUAAACUUCACAAGAUUGGGAAGAAUAAGUUUUGGAUAAUAACCCAAACGAUGACGGUACCAUUUGUAAGCUCCGGCUAACUCCGU